rnacentral:rRNA from 1 species
UACGUAGGGGGCAAGCGUUGUCCGGAAUCAUUGGGCGUAAAGGGCGCGUAGGCGGCUAUAUAAGUCUGAUGUGAAAGUGCGGAGCUUAACUCCGUAAAGCAUUGGAUACUGUAUGGCUUGAGGACAGGAGAGGAAAGUGGAAUUCCACGUGUAGCGGUGAAAUGCGUAGAGAUGUGGAGGAACACCAGUGGCGAAGGCGACUUUCUGGACUGUAACUGACGCUGAGGCGCGAAAGCGCGGGGAGCGAACA